rnacentral:rRNA from 1 species
CACUGUGCCCAAACCUCUUUGUCAAAGCCUGAUCUUGUCAGAUCUCAGAAACUAAACCAGGUUGGGCCUGGUUAGUAUUUGGAUGAGAGACUGCUGGGAAUAUAAGUGUCUCAGUGA